UACGGAGGGGGCUAGCGUUGUUCGGAAUUACUGGGCGUAAAGGGCUCGUAGGUGGCCAACUAAGUCAUACGUGAAAUCCCUCGGCUUAACCGGGGAACUGCGUCUGAUACUGGAUGGCUUGAGGUUGGGAGAGGGAUGCGGAAUUCCAGGUGUAGCGGUGAAAUGCGUAGAUAUCUGGAGGAACACCGGUGGCGAAGGCGGCAUCCUGGACCAAUUCUGACACUGAGGAGCGAAAGCCAGGGGAGCAAACGGG
rnacentral:rRNA from 1 species